UAUUUUUUUUCUUCUCUCUCUCCUCGGUCGUGCGCCCCCCUUCAUUUUUCGUUUUCGUUUUUCUUUUUCUUCAAGAACUGUGGCCCUAGCCGCCACCUAGCUUCACCAUCACCGCCAGCCCAGUCGAGCAUCUCCACGGUUGUGCGUUGCCAGUUGCCGUCGCCGUCCUCUAGCUGCACCUCGCCGCUAGAGUCUUCGCCGAACGCCGCUGCCAUUCCGCCACCGUGAGCUUCGACGAUUCCAACCGAUUUCGAGUCACCGUGAACCGAAGUCGCUAGCCACGCGAUAUGUCCUUCACGCGGUUUAGAGUCAAGUCGUUCCCCGCCGAUAGCCUCUCGCCAGCAGUUCGCGCACGGUCACCCUAACCUCCGAUCGAAGCAGUCGCUCGUUUCAGUCGGCGCUGGACUGAGUUCCGUCGUCGUUCCGUUCAGCCACCGUUGAGUUCGUCGACCGCCACUGCCUAUUCUUGCAAAAUCUUAGAGUUUGAGUAUGAGUUGGUUUAUUUUGGGCAAGAAUUGGGUUUUUCAAGAUUUUUGGGGUGUCACUUUGUGUUAGAAGCAAUUUUGGUUAAUACUCAUUGUGUGGAAUUUGAGGAUUAGGAUUUUGGAAGAUUUUGGGGCUUUGCUAUCAAGGAAGAGACCAUUAUUUUCAACUGUAAGUUUUUGGAGUUGAGUAAGUUUUGUGUAGGUUGAUUGGUUAUCCUUUGGACUUAGACCGGAUUUAUUUAAUCUUGGAUUCACUUUCUAGGCCAUAGUUACUAAACUAAACGGUUAAUGUCACAGGAUUGAUUUGAGUUUUAUCCAAGGAUUGAUUUGAGUUUUAUCCAAGGAUUAUUAAGGUAAGGGCAAGGAUACUCGUGCGACUGACAAAAGAAAUGUCAGCUAAAGGAACUAGAAUAGCUUCCGCAUUUGAAUCUUUAUAUUUUCUCACGUUUUAUCUUGUUAUAUUUUAUUUUAUUUUAUUUUAUUGUCCUCAAUGUGAAUAUUUAUGCAUGCAGUAACAAUUCCCUUCUUAGUAGUCUUAGGAAGUGUGCUUGUUACAAAAAAAAACUCUAAAUCUCAUCUUAUUCAUCUUCUUCACUUA